UUGAUAUUAAUGUUAUUGAUCAACAUUAUUAUUAAUAAAGUUCUUAUUUUGAUAAAAACAAAGAUACAAGGUAGUUAUCAAUAUUAUCAGUAGUAGUAGUUGUAAUUAACACAUAUAUCCUCUGACAUUGAAAAUUGUUCAAAUGGAAGGUCAUCGCAACUAUACCAUAGACUAAACAGUUCAGGGACAGCAAUAAAGUUAUACUUAUAAGGUAAGGUAAUGAUAAUAAUAACAAUGAUAAUGAUAAUAUUUUCUGAAGGCAACAUGAUUUCAUUCAAUUUAAAGUUACAGAUGUACAACUAAAUAUAAAAUAUGGUUGGAAUGACAUUUUUCAAAGUAGAUUUUGCAUUGGGUAAUUAUUAUUGCUGUUACAAUUUCUACAUGAGGAUAGAAUAAUUAUUUCUGCCUAGAGUUCUGAGUAAUUUUUAUAACUUGGUGUCUUGUAAAGUUUCACAGAACAGAGGUUCCCAAAGUCGAAUAAAUGGGAUUUACUCAAUAAAUUUGAUUUAUUAAAUUUUUUAUUUAUAUAUAUUUUUUCUUUUUCUUUUCUUUACAUUCAUUCACAUUUAUAUUUAGUCCUCUCAUUUUAGGAUCUUGUUAGUCUUACCAGAUUGAGUAACAUUAUUAAGUACUGUGACCUAUAUUACUUAACAAAUCCUUUAAACUCAUGGCUGCUCGGUAUUCACACUGUCUACUGUAUUUUUCCUUUGUGUAUUUGCACACAGAUGGCUGCACAAGUAAUCAGCAACUAAUGAGUCAAUUACCAUACUUGUGUGACUUCACCUGAUUUUCCAUUUCCUUAAGGUUUCAGAAAAAAAAAAAUUAAAUGUCAUUGAUAGUGAUGCUAAUUUCAUUACAUUAUGAUUAUUAUAAUGUUACCAAUAGUACUUAUAGCAGCAAUAAAAAAAACGAGGAAUAGGGUAAGUAGAUGAGUUAGAUAGACUAGUUAAGCAUUUGCGAAGUCAUUAAUGUUUAAAAACAAUCAAUAAAGAAAAAGAAAAUUCACACAUGGUACGUAUUAAAGGCAUCCUAACAUCGCUGUGUUGAAAGUCUAGGUAGAAUUACAGGUAAAAUUUAAACAUGGUAGUUUGAUGACGUAAAACUUCAAAGGACGAUUAAUUAGGAAACUAUUGCCAUGUAAAGCAGGACAGUGACUAGAGGCUAACUGUUGGUUCAUUAAUAGAAGUCAUUUUGAAAAUUUUUGAAAAUGUCAAGACACUUCUUUCUGCAUCGAACCCUUUUAGAAGGUCUUUAGAAGCCAUAAAAAAAUUUACUUGUAUAAUCUCAUGCAGUAUUUAAACAUUUAUUUAAAGUUGUAGACAGCUCAGAAACAUAACAUAACAGUGGGUCGGGAUAAUGGUUUUGCAGUUCUAAUUUUAGUUUUUUAUCAUAAAGACCAUGAUGGUAGGACAGUCUGGCCAAUGUGUGAUUUUUUUGUCAGUUCAGCUUGAAAACUGGUUGAAUUUUGUCUUCAUGAAAGAUUUAUGGCAUAUAUAUGAAUAAUAAUUAUUGAUAAUAAUUUUUCAUGAUCAAUUUGCUCUUCAAAACAUAACUUGAUAGUUUAUAUCAUACUUUAUCCAUAGUUUAUUACCAACAAAAUAACAUGUUUCAGAAUUUAUAAACAAUGCAAAAAUACAGUGAGCAGGAGGAGUAAGUUAAAGCCACACGUUAGGUAUGCUGAAAAGUAGACGGAACUUCUCUAAAUGUACCUGAGUUAGCAUCAGCACACUUGAACAACAUUCAGGAGUUAUAAGUGAUGAAAGGCUCACUGGUGUUGAAGAAACUCUGCUGUAAUUAAGAGCCCUCAUUGUCCACAACCAAUGUAGAUAAGAAGUAUGUGAUUCUUUUAGGAAACUCUUUUGUGGAUGUAAGCCUUAAGGAACUUAUUUUCCAGACCUUUACCCCAAACCUUAAGCAUUUUGACCACAAACUGAACUGGAUCCCAGAGUUUGUUACCUGUCUGUGUUGGUCUUGAAUACUUAAGUUCACUUUUGUGGGCAACAUUUUUUUUUUUUUUUGUAUGGCCUUGUUUGAUUGGGACAUGUCAGUCAAUAAAAUCCUCUUUUCAGCUGUGAAGUUAAAGAAACAGGAGACUGAAUUUUUAUACACAACUAGAGGAAAGGGACAUCAAACAGGGAACAGCAGUUGGCAUCAUCUUGUUGCAGAGUUAACCUUCAAAAAGUACCAGUGAAUGAUAAUUUGAAACCUGAGUGUCUUCCCCCUAGUUAAGGUGUAUUGAAGAUUGGUAUUGUUCAAGGGCCUAUUGUAAGGGAAGGAAAAUUAACAGGUUACGUGAGCCAUCCUUCAUUGAGGAUUCUUCCGUUCUGAUGAUACAGUUCUUGAGGCUACAUUCUUUAGCACCCCAACAGAUAAAGGUGGUCCCAGAUGCAAUAAGGAAGGGAGAAAAUGGAAUGACAAACACAAUUCAACAAGACCUGGACAGUUUGAAUUCCUUUGGGCUGGUAUAUGUGAUCUGUUUUUUUUCCCAAAAAUAGUUUUUUAGGGGUUAUAACUCUAUAUAUGUUAAGUUUAGAACCUAAUGAUCCCUACUAAUUUGAUGCGUCUGAUUGUUUUAGGGUGGCUGUUAAGCUCUCCACAAGCUUGCUAAUUGAAGCUGCAAAAGUAGCAACUGCAGUUCUAGAUGGACCAAAUUAAAGGGUCUUUAUUUAAAAAAAAAAAAUUUACCCCCAAGCCCAAAUGUUCGUAAACUUCUCUUGGUAUUACUGAUGACCAAGUAGGGUGGUGUGAUACAGAAAAACCUAUAUGACAUAGUGCAGUUGUUUGCUUAGUUGAUAACAUACAUCAUCAUCUAUCAACCUGCAGCACCUUUGAGGCAAUGCAAGCCGAAUACUCUGCAUUAACAGGCAAGUAGCAAUAUCCUUUAUUCUUCUGUAAGCAAAAUUGAACAGGUAAACAUAAUGUAACUUAUGGACUCCACAAGAUAUACACCUUUUAUGUAAUGAUCACAUCCUCAAUUUUAUUUUGUUUACAGGACUGUAAAUAUGACUUGAAUAAGAUCCUCAGUAGAAAGUAAAAUAUAUGGUAAAGACAACAUAA